AGUGAACGCUGGCGGUAGGCCUAACACAUGCAAGUCGAACGGCAGCACAGUAAGAGCUUGCUCUUACGGGUGGCGAGUGGCGGACGGGUGAGGAAUACAUCGGAAUCUACUUUUUCGUGGGGGAUAACGUAGGGAAACUUACGCUAAUACCGCAUACGACCUACGGGUGACAGCAGGGGAUCUUCGGACCUUGCGCGAUUGAAUGAGCCUAUGUCGGAUUAGCUAGUUGGCGGGGUAAAGGCCCACCAAGGCGACGAUCCGUAGCUGGUCUGAGAGGAUGAUCAGCCACACUGGAACUGAGACACGGUCCAGACUCCUACGGGAGGCAGCAGUGGGGAAUAUUGGACAAUGGGCGCAAGCCUGAUCCAGCCAUACCGCGUGGGUGAAGAAGGCCUUCGGGUUGUAAAGCCCUUUCGUUGGGAAAGAAAAGCAGCAGGUUAAUACCCCGCUGUUCUGACGGUACCCAAAGAAUAAGCACCGGCUAACUUCGUG
rnacentral:rRNA from 1 species